AGUGAACGCUGGCGGUAGGCCUAACACAUGCAAGUCGAACGGCAGCACAGGAGAGCUUGCUCUCUGGGUGGCGAGUGGCGGACGGGUGAGGAAUACAUCGGAAUCUACUUUUUCGUGGGGGAUAACGUAGGGAAACUUACGCUAAUACCGCAUACGACCUACGGGUGAAAGCAGGGGAUCUUCGGACCUUGCGCGAUUGAAUGAGCCGAUGUCGGAUUAGCUAGUUGGCGGGGUAAAAGCCCACCAAGGCGACGAUCCGUAGCUGGUCUGAGAGGAUGAUCAGCCACACUGGAAGUGAGACACGGUCCAGACUCCUACGGGAGGCAGCAGUGGGGAAUAUUGGACAAUGGGCGCAAGCCUGAUCCAGCCAUACCGCGUGGGUGAAGAAGGCCUUCAGGUUGUAAAGCCCUUUUGUUGGGAAAGAAAUCCAGCUGGUUAAUACCCGGUUGGGAUGACGGUACCCAAAGAAUAAGCACCGGCUAACUUCGUGCCAGCAGCCGCGGUAA
rnacentral:rRNA from 1 species